rnacentral:lncRNA from 1 species
GAAACUAAGCCGGAAGAAGAGCCGAAUGGCUAAAGCAACACAAGAUUUGGUCGGCUUGAAAAGCCGAAAUGACUUUCUAUUAAUUGACUGAUGGGAAGUACAGGGAUGAAUAUUUAGUUUACAACGGAGUGAUGCCCGUGGGGCAGACAGACUCCAGGGUUCUACUUAGCGAACUACUCCUAGAGAAGACAGUAAAAGUUAUAAUUAGACUACUCCUAGAAAAUGCAGGAAAUUGCGAGGAAAUAAGGAUGGUCUUUUUGUUCACAAGGGAAAAGAACUCUUUUUAGGGCGUAAUUGACCUAUUUAUAAAUCACCUCUUGAUCAGUUAUUGCUCUUACAUGAUAGGCCACUAUUUCCUAAUAUCCCGGACCACCUCCAGCCGAUCGGAACCGCAUACAACUGCUUGCAGUUGCUGUAACUUCCUUCAAUUAGCGCGAUGAUUUUUCUUUAAAACUUUUCCGGUGCUCCUGGUGCAUGGCUAGAUUAAUGCCUUUGAAAGGAAUACCGGCAUACCACCUGUACACGCCUAAUUGGCUCAACACUAUGGAAAGAAUAUAGGUACUGUUUUGGAUAUCAAAAUAAAUUAUUUGGCGAUAAUUUAUUUGGUGGGAGAAUAUUUUUAUGUGAUCAGAAGCAACAUGUGAUCUUUUUUCUUUGAAAGGAAUCGACAUCAAUAAUUUGAUAGAAUGUAAUUUACCUACGAGUUAAUUUAUUUUAUUUUUAAAAAAUAACAUGUGAAUUGAAUAUUGUAUGUCAUGCUAGACAUUUGAUUGCAACGCCCAUAGUUUACUAUCCUGUAAUUUAUAAAUUU